ACCGCGAUAGCUCAGCUGGUAGAGUAUCCGUUCGGUAAGCGGGAAGUAAUCGGUUGGAAUCCGGCUCGCGGCG
rnacentral:tRNA from 1 species